ACACUGAUGGUGAAGCGGUUAUCAUGCUUGCCUUCCAUAAGUGUAAGCAAGCGGCAGGGGUUCGACUCCCCUUCAGUGUA